GCACAAGCGGUGGAUGAUGUGGAUUAAUUCGAUGCAACGCGAAAACCUUACCUACCUUGACAUGUCCGGAAUCCCGAAGAGAUUUGGGAGUGCUCGCAAGAGAACCGGAACACAGGUGCUGCAUGGCUGUCGUCAGCUCGUGUCGUGAGAUGUUGGGUUAAGUCCCGCAACGAGCGCAACCCUUGUCAUUAGUUGCCAUCAUUUGGUUGGGCACUCUAAUGAGACUGCCGGUGACAAACCGGAGGAAGGUGGGGAUGACGUCAAGUCCUCAUGGCCCUUAUGGGUAGGGCUUCACACGUCAUACAAUGGUCGGUACAGAGGGUUGCCAACCCGCGAGGGGGAGCUAAUCCCACAAAGCCGAUCGUAGUCCGGAUCGCAGUCUGCAACUCGACUGCGUGAGGUCGGAAUCGCUAGUAAUCGUGGAUCAGCAUGUCACGGUGAAUACGUUCCCGGGUCUU
rnacentral:rRNA from 1 species